rnacentral:lncRNA from 1 species
AAUCCUUUCAUGAUUCAGCAAUUUUGUCUCCUUUGCAGGUUUUGAGAUAAAACAAGUAUUUCCUACUUACAGUAGAGGAGCACUUCUUCACUCAUGGUCUGUCUGUCUUGGAGUGGAUCCCAAGAUGGAUUUUCAGAUCCCAGCUAUCUGAAAAUAUCUUCUGACAUUUUCAAGAAUGCGCUUCAGUUUUCUGGAGCUGCCAGCCCAGAACUGUCCUGCAUCUAAUGGAGGAGGAAUGAGAAGAGCUAGUACGGAACCAAACAGCUGAAUAAACAACUGAUUUUACAGCA